rnacentral:rRNA from 1 species
UACAGAGGGUGCGAGCGUUGUUCGGAAUUAUUGGGCGUAAAGAGUGUGUAGGCGGUGUUCCAAGUCUGGUGUGAAAUCUCCCGGCUUAACUGGGAGGGUGCAUUAGAAACUGGAAUGCUAGAGGAUGGGAGAGGUAAGCGGAAUUCCUGGUGUAGCGGUGAAAUGCGUAGAUAUCAGGAGGAACACCUGUGGUGUAGACAGCUUACUGGACCAUUUCUGACGCUGAGACACGAAAGCGUGGGUAGCAAACAGG